rnacentral:rRNA from 1 species
UACGUAGGGGGCAAGCGUUGUCCGGAAUCAUUGGGCGUAAAGCGCGUGUAGGUGGCCCGAUAAGUCCGCCGUGAAAGUCCAGGGCUCAACCCUGGGAUGCCGGUGGAAACUGUCGGGCUAGAGUCCGGAAGAGGCGAGUGGAAUUCCUGGUGUAGCGGUGAAAUGCGCAGAUAUCAGGAGGAACACCAAUGGCGAAGGCAGCUCGCUGGGACGGUACUGACACUGAGACGCGAAAGCGUGGGGAGCAAACAGG